AGAGCGAACGCUGGCGGCAGGCCUAAAACAUGCAAGUCGAACGGACCCUUCGGGGUUAGUGGCGGACGGGUGAGUAACACGUGGGAACGUGCCUUUUGGUUCAGAACAACUCAGGGAAACUUGAGCUAAUACUGAAUAAGCCCUACGGGGGAAAGAUUUAUCGCCAUUAGAGCGGCCCGCGUUGGAUUAGCUAGUUGGUGAGGUAAAGGCUCACCAAGGCUACGAUCCAUAGCUGGUCUGAGAGGAUGAUCAGCCACACUGGGACUGAGACACGGCCCAGACUCCUACGGGAGGCAGCAGUUAGGAAUCUUGCGCAAUGGGCGAAAGCCUGACGCAGCGACGCCGCGUGGGGGAUGAAGGCCUUCGGGUUGUAAACCCCUUUCAGCAGGGACGAAGCGAAAGUGACGGUACCUGCAGAAGAAGCGCCGGCUAACUACGCGCCAGCAGCCGC
rnacentral:rRNA from 1 species